rnacentral:rRNA from 1 species
AUUGAACGCUGGCGGCAGGCUUAACACAUGCAAGUCGAGCGGAGUGAUGGUGCUUGCACUAUCACUUAGCGGCGGACGGGUGAGUAAUGCUUAGGAAUCUGCCUAUUAGUGGGGGACAACAUCUCGAAAGGGAUGCUAAUACCGCAUACGUCCUACGGGAGAAAGCAGGGGAUCACUUGUGACCUUGCGCUAAUAGAUGAGCCUAAGUCGGAUUAGCGAGUGGGUGGGGUAAAGGCCUACCAAGGCGACGAUCUGUAGCGGGUCUGAGAGGAUGAUCCGCCACACUGGGACGGAGACACGGCCCAGACUCCUACGGGAGGCAGCAGUGGGGAAUAUUGGACAAUGGGGGGAACCCUGAUCCAGCCAUGCCGCGUGUGUGAAGAAGGCCUUAUGGUUGUAAAGCACUUUAAGCGAGGAGGAGGCUCUUUUGGUUAAUACCCAAGAUGAGUGAACGUUACUCGCAGAAUAAGCACCGGCUAACUCUGUGCCAGCCGCCGCAGUAA